rnacentral:antisense_RNA from 1 species
AGAUGGGAUUUCACCAUGAUGCCCAGGCUGGUCUAGAACUCCUGGACUCAAGCAAUCCACCCGCCUUGGCCUCCCAAAGUGCUAAUAUUACAGGCAUGAGCUACCGCAUAUGGCCAAUUUUCUAAAUUCUUAAAUGUGAUUCUUUGGCAGUGUUGUUUUGUGACCAAAAAUAAAAUGGUUCCUAGAAAUAAACACAUCACCUAUUUCAUAAUAAAAAGGA